rnacentral:pre_miRNA from 1 species
CCUCAAAUGUGGAGGCACUCUUCUGCUAUCUAAAUGGAAAGUGCUGCCAAAUUUGGGUGU